rnacentral:rRNA from 1 species
AACAACGGAUCUCUUGGUUCUGGCAUCGAUGAAGAACGCAGCGAAAUGCGAUAAGUAGUGUGAAUUGCAGAAUUCAGUGAAUCAUCGAAUCUUUGAACGCACAUUGCGCCCCUUGGUAUUCCAUGGGGCAUGCCUGUUCGAGCGUCAUUUGUACCUU